GGUCACAGUCUGAUGGUGAGGCUGGUCAAGAACAUCUGAGGUCAUAGUCUGAUGGUCAGGCCGGACAAGAGCAUCUGAGGUCAUAGUCUGAUGGUGAGCUGGACAAGAGCAUCUGAGGUCAUAGUCUGAUGGUGAGGCCAGACAAGAGCAUCCAAGGUCAUAGUCUCAUGGAUGCAGCCUGGUCCUGAUGCUAUCUCUAUAACGUGCCAUGAGCCAGAGAUCCUGGCAGCAUGUGCAGUGAAGACCGACAACCCACACAAGCCUGCACACUGUAGAAGGCCUGGACCUCAUCGCUGGCGUAUCUGACCCGACAGCUAGGAAGGGGCUGAAAGUACGAGAAAUGGGAUUGCCCUGCGCAGGAGAGGUCAAAGCACAGAUGUCAAUUGACGGAGCUCAUGAGCUGGAUGGAAAGACUGAAAAGGGGUCUUGGAAAGCGUGCCAGGAGUGGACGCUGUACAGUAUGGUGGCCUGCAAAGGCAGCCCUUCCAUUUACGUUUCAGACUCCAAGUCAGCCGCGUCAGAGUUUGAACCGGAGCUACAGGGGAUAAUGGGUCAGAUGCAAUUAGCGGCCGGGAGACCCGCACACUGCGAUCUUAUUUAUUUAUUUAGUUAGUUUGCCCAUCAAACUCCAAGAAUGCUAGUGCUUAAAAGCAACCAAACAAUUGCUCUCUUGUACUGAAAUAAAGUCCA